rnacentral:snRNA from 1 species
GUUCUCCUUCAGCAGCACAUAUGCUAAAAUGGGAACGAUACAGAGAUUAGCAUGGUUCCUGCGCAAGGAUAACAUGCAAAUUCAUGAAGUGUUCCAUAUUUUU